GAAUUACUGGGCGUAAAGCGCACGCAGGCGGUUUGUUAAGUCAGAUGUGAAAUCCCCGCGCUUAACGUGGGAACUGCAUUUGAAACUGGCAAGCUAGAGUCUUGUAGAGGGGGGUAGAAUUCCAGGUGUAGCGGUGAAAUGCGUAGAGAUCUGGAGGAAUACCGGUGGCGAAGGCGGCCCCCUGGACAAAGACUGACGCUCAGGUGCGAAAGCGUGGGGAGCAAACAGGAUUAGAUACCCUGGUAGUCCACGCUGUAAACGAUUUCGACUUGGAGGUUGUGCCCUUGAGGCGUGGCUUCCAGAGCUAACGCGUUAAGUCGACCGCCUGGGGAGUACGGCCGCAAGGUUAAAACUCAAAUGAAUUGACGGGGGCCCGCACAAGCGGUGGAGCAUGUGGUUUAAUUCGAUGCAACGCGAAGAACCUUACCUACUCUUGACAUCCACGGAAUUCGCCAGAGAUGGCUUAGUGCCUUCGGGAACCGUGAGACAGGUGCUGCAUGGCUGUCGUCAGCUCGUGUUGUGAAAUGUUGGGUUAAGUCCCGCAACGAGCGCAACCCUUAUCCUUUGUUGCCAGCACGUAAUGGUGGGAACUCAAAGGAGACUGCCGGUGAUAAACCGGAGGAAGGUGGGGAUGACGUCAAGUCAUCAUGGCCCUUACGAGUAGGGCUACACACGUGCUACAAUGGCAUAUACAAAGAGAAGCGAACUCGCGAGAGCAAGCGGACCUCAUAAAGUAUGUCGUAGUCCGGAUUGGAGUCUGCAACUCGACUCCAUGAAGUCGGAAUCGCUAGUAAUCGUAGAUCAGAAUGCUACGGUGAAUACGUUUCCGGGCCUUGUACACACCGCCCGUCACACCAUGGGAGUGGGUUGCAAAAGAAGUAGGUAGCUUAACCUUCGGGAGGGCGCUUACCACUUUGUGAUUCAUGACUGGGGUGAAGUCGUA
rnacentral:rRNA from 1 species